rnacentral:snoRNA from 1 species
UAUGGAGUUAAAGUGGCAUGUAUUAGUACUUACCUUUAAUCUGUGUCUCUAAUGCUCCAAUAUUAAAUAAGUAGGCAAACGGCAUCCUGAGUAAUCAAUCAUAUUAUAGCAGAUGACUUUUGUUUGUGUACAAUA